rfam:Bacillus cereus ATCC 14579, complete genome.
AAGCCCUUUUAAAUGUAGUCCUGUGAGGCUGCCAAAGGGUCUUGGCUUUCAUAUGUCAAAUUUGGCAUAAGAAAGUGUAGGACUCUUUGUGCACAGGCACAAAGAGUUUUUUUUU